CAAAUUUAUUUUGCAGGUGACUGAACCGGAAUAAUACAUAUGAGAUGUGAGAGUUUCCUGACCCUCUUGUGAGACUUGCCACAGAGAAGGUGUAGGGGAUUGGCGGGAGCUUAUUUUGCCUGGUUGCAGAGCUCAAACCCUUUGCAGGAUGGGGAGCACGCAGCACUCUCCAGGAAAAGCGACCUGCUAUGUAACAUGAAGACACUCCAGCAGCCUCACGGAGGUGGAGGGAAGAGAGACCACAUGGUGAGGAACUGAGGCCUCCUACCAAAGCCAGCACCAACUUGACAGGCAUGAAAAUGGGCCACCUAAAAGCAUAUCUUCAGCCCCUGUGGACCCUUUAGAUGACUGCAGGCCCUGCUGACAUCUUGACUGAAACCUCAUGAGAGAGCUAGGACCAGAGUGACCCAGUGGUUUUCUGGCACGGCGCCCAGGCUCUAUUUGAAACAGCUGGCUCCCUUCACUUCAGCAACCAAGAAUUACAAAAUAGACCGAAAGGACACUGAAACCCUUCAAGAUGGUGAGAGUGAUGGUGGCCUCAUUGUCCCUAUGCAUACUGGUCUGUUGUGCUUUUCCUUCUUCUGAUUCCUUUACCCUUGUCUUCAAAUGUUAGUUGCUGAUACAGA